CCUACGGGUGGCAGCAGUGAGGAAUAUUGGUCAAUGGACGAGAGUCUGAACCAGCCAAGUAGCGUGAAGGAUGACUGCCCUAUGGGUUGUAAACUUCUUUUAUAUGGGAAUAAAACGUUCCACGUGUGGGAUUUUGUAUGUACCAUACGAAUAAGGACCGGCUAACUCCGUGCCAGCAGCCGCGGUAAUACGGAGGGUCCGGACGUUAUCCGGAUUUAUUGGGGUUAAAGGGAGCGUAGGUGGGUGGUGAAGGCAGUUGUGAAAGUUGGCGGCUCAACCGUAACAUUGCAGUUGAAACUGGCAGUCUUGAGUACAGUAGAGGCAGGCGGAAUUCGUGGUGUAGCGGUGAAAUGCUUAGAUAUCACGAAGAACUCCGAUUGCGAAGGCAGUUCACUGGACUGCAACUGACACUGAGGCUCGAAGGUGUGGGUAUCAAACAGGAUUAGAUACCCGUGUAGUC
rnacentral:rRNA from 1 species